UACAUGGGGUGCAAACGUUGCUCGGAAUUAUUGGGCGUAAAGCGCACGUAGGCGGUUUGUUAAGUCGGAUGUGAAAUCCCUCGGCUCAACUGAGGAAGUGCAUCCGAAACUGGCAGGCUUGAGUACUAAAGAGGGUCGCGGAAUUCCCGGUGUAGAGGUGAAAUUCGUAGAUAUCGGGAGGAACACCGGUGGCGAAGGCGGCGACCUGGGUAGAUACUGACGCUGAGGUGCGAAAGCUAGGGGAGCAAACAGGG
rnacentral:rRNA from 1 species